GAAUGAUCAAAGGACUCUGGAAC
rnacentral:piRNA from 1 species